GACGAACGCUGGCGGCGUGCUUAACACAUGCAAGUCGAACGGAAAGGCCCUGCUUUUGUGGGGUGCUCGAGUGGCGAACGGGUGAGUAACACGUGAGUAACCUGCCCUUGACUUUGGGAUAACUUCAGGAAACUGGGGCUACUACCGGAUAGGAGCUCCUGCUGCAUGGGGGGGGUUGGAAAGUUUCGGCGGUUGGGGAUGGACUCGCGGCUUAUUAGCUUGUUGGUGGGGUAGUGGCUUACCAAGGCUUUGACGGGUAGCCGGCCUGAGCGGGUGACCGGCCACAUUGGGACUAAGAUACGGCCCAGACUCCUACGGGAGGCAGCAGUGGGGAAUAUUGCACAAUGGGCGGAAGCCUGAUGCAGCAACGCCGCGUGCGGGAUGACGGCCUUCGGGUUGUAAACCGCUUUCGCCUGUGACGAAGCGUGAGUGACGGUAAUGUGUAAAGAAGCACCGGCUAACUACGUG
rnacentral:rRNA from 1 species